rnacentral:rRNA from 1 species
GUGUCAGCAGCCGCGGUAAUACAGAGGGUGCGAGCGUUAAUCGGAAUUACUGGGCGUAAAGCGCACGUAGUCGGCUUUGCAAGUCGGUUGUGAAAUCCCCGGGCUCAACCUGGGAACUGCAUCCGAGACUGCAUUGCUAGAGUAUGGGAGAGGAAAGCGGAAUUUCUGGUGUAGCAGUGAAAUGCGUAGAUAUCAGAAGGAACAUCAGUGGCGAAGGCGGCUUUCUGGACCAAUACUGACGAUCAGGUGCGAAAGCGUGGGGAGCAAACAGGAUUAGAUACCCUGGUAGUCC